CCUCUGCCUGGUGCCGUAUCUUUGUCCUUUGUCGAUAAAAACACGUCGCAAUAACUCGUUACCUAUCCUUUCUUUGUUUCCAAAAUGUUGAUUCCUUUGUCGAUGAAACUAAACCAACUCAAAAUCAUAUUUUUCUUUCUUUGUUUCCAAAACGUCGAUUCCUUUAUCGAUGAAACUAAAGCAACUCAAAACCAUAUUUUCCUUUCUUUGUUUCCAAAACGUCGAUUCCCUUGUCGAUGAAACUAAAGCAACUCAAAACCAUAUUUUCCUUUCUUUGUUUCCAAAACGUCGAUUCCCUUGUCGAUGAAACUAAAGCAACUCAAAACCAUAUUUUCCUUUCUUUGUUUCCAAAACGUCGAUUCCCUUGUCGAUGAAACUAAAGCAACUCAAAACCAUAUUUUCCUUUCUUUGUUUCCAAAACGUCGGUUCCCUUGUCGAUGAAACUAAAGCAACUCAAAACCAUAUUUUCCUUUCUUUGUUUCCAAAACGUCGAUUCCUUUGUCUGUGAAACUAAACCAUCUCAAAACCAUAUUUUCCUUUCUUUGUUUCCAAAACGUCGAUUCCCUUCUCGAUGAAACUAAAGCAACUCAAAACCAUAUUUUCCUUUCUUUGUUUCCAAAAUGUUGAUUCCUUUGUCGAUAAAAACACGUCGCAAUAACUCGUCAUCCUUUCUUUCUUCUCAAAAAGUCGAUUCCUUUGUCGAUAAAACUAACUUCUUUUAAAGGUCAGUAUCCCACCCCGACAUUUACGUCAGGGUCAGCAUCCCACCCCAACAUUCAAGCUGGGGUCAGCAUCCCACCCCGACAAUUAAGUCAGGGUCAGCAUCCCACCCCGACAAUUAUGUCAGGGUCAGCAUCCCACCCCAACAUUCAAGCUGAGGUCAGCAUCCCACCCCGACAAUUAAGUCAGGGUCAGCAUCCCACCCCGACAAUUAAGUCAGGGUCAGCAUCCCACCCCGACAAUUAAGUCAGGGUCAGCAUCCCACCCCGACAAUUAAGUCAGGGUCAGUAUCCCACCCCGACAUUUACGUCAGGGUCAGCAUCCCACCCCAACAUUCAAGCUGGGGUCAGCAUCCCACCCCGACAAUUAAGUCAGGGUCAGCAUCCCACCCCGACAAUUAAGUCAGGGUCAGCAUCCCACCCCAACAUUCAAGCUGAGGUCAGCAUCCCACCCCGACAAUUAAGUCAGGGUCAGCAUCCCACCCCGACAAUUAAGUCAGGGUCAGCAUCCCACUCCGACAGAUGUUGUGUUUCUAUCGUAUUUUUUUUCUGGUGUUCUUUUUUUCUGUAUUUUCCUUGUGCUGGUUUUCUCUUUCUUCAUUUGCCUUUUUCUGGUGUUGUUUCAAUAUCGGCUUUUCUUGGUGCCGUAUCUUGCUACAGCUGAGUCUCCUUCACCCCAGAGAAGGCUCACCCGUGCCAACAUACCACACCAAAGUCCUUAAUCCAAGUUGUUCGUUUUGCUAAUGUUGUGUUUUGUAUCAUUUCUUUUUUCUGGCAUUCCUUUUCUGUAUUAUCCUGUCUCCGGUGUUAUUUCUCUGUAUUUGUCGUGUGACAGCGUUAUGUAGAGUAUCUACAUCGCCUCUACCUGGUGCCGUAUCAUGCUACAGCUGAGUCUCCUUCACCCCAGAGAAGGCUCACCCAUACCAAUAUACCACACCAAAGGCCUUCAUGCUGGAUUUUUGUAAUGUGUUUUUGUUUUAUUUUUCCUUUUCUCAUCUGUGCUUCUAUCUUAUCUAUUUCCUGGGAUUCCUCUCCUGUGUUAUCCUAUUUCUGAUGUUCUUUUGGUUUAUUUUCCUUAUUUUCGGUGUUUCUUCUGUAAUAUCCCUGUCGUGGAGUUGUUCUGAAAUCGCCUUUCCUUGGUGAUGUGUGCUGAUACGAAUGAGUCUCCUUCACCCCAGAAAAGACCCGCCCACACCAACACACAACACCAAACGCACUCCCAUCCCCCGUCCCUGGACACUAGGGAUCUAUGGCACCGCCAUGGGCGCCCCGAGGGAGCCGAGACGCCCUGCCGGAACCCCUGAGCCCAGCGACGCUCGCCAGGGAGACCUUGGGCUCCCUGACGCUCCCCAGCACCGCCGAGGCGGGGGAGGGCGGCAACUCCAGACAACUGCAGAACAACUCCAGACGGGAAUAUUAAAUUAAUCGUAAACA